rnacentral:sRNA from 1 species
UCCUAGCCCCGAUGGGAGUGGAAAUCCUUUGACUUUUUGCUGCCAAAAAGACAAAGAUUGUAGCAGACAGCGGGAAAUAGC